AUGGCAAAAUCAUCUUUGGGCCCUAGGUUAGUGUGGGGCCAUGUCUCAGUCCACCCAAGGUCCCCUCAUAUCACCCAGAGAGGCACUUGGCCUGGAGCAGUGAGAAGAAGAAAUACCUUCCAAGACCAGAGUGGCAGCUCCAGUACUAGAGAACUCCUUUUGAGGUGUAGUGAUGCAUGGAGGGACUGGGAGCUUGCUAUUGGUGGAGUUCUCCUGGCUGAACAGCAAAUUAAAGAUAACUUGCAAGAGGUCAAAGCUCAGAUUCACAGUUGCACAAACCAUUACCUGGAAUGUCUUAGACACCGUAAGUGUGGCUAUAUGAACAGGUAGACCUCAUCUAUCAGCUUAAAGAGGAGACAUUUCAUAACAGCAGGCUCAGCAGUUCUACUGGCUAUUGGGCCAGUUCAGUUGUCUUACUCAUCAAAUGGAGUGUACCCAAAACAAAGCUCUAGCUACUCAAUUCUCUGUGUGCCUGGAAAGACUGGGCAGUUUGACCCUUAAACCUGAAGAUUCAAUUGUCCUGCUCUUUAGCCGACACAACUGCUUUGUGCCACACCAUCACCACAUUUGGGUCUCCCAGAACCAUUCAAAUUCCUGAGCACUUGAUGGCUCACAGUUCACCAAAUACUGGGCCCUUCCUGGAGAGGAGAGGCUAUAUUCCAAUGCCAAAGCAGAAGUCAGCAUCCAGUUUUGCAGCUGUCUCUCUUAGCGAAUGACUCCUUGGAAGCAAACCUGCCAGUGGUCAUCAGACCCCUUACAUAUCCAGCACCAAUAAAGAAAUUGAUUCUUCAUUGGUUCACCCAACAGCAGACCUUGGAGAAUAGUCAGACUUCUUCCAGAGCCUGCAAUUUCUUCAGUAAUGUCUGGGGAAAUCUAAAGAGCUUAGAAAACUGGCUCCUGAAGAAUCAGCAACAGGAAGUUCCUGAAAAACCAGGUUAUCAAAAGUGUAACAGCCAUUCCACUACUAGUUCCUUCUCCAUUGAAAAGGUUGAAGGUCUAGAACUUCCUAAUCAAGAUGAGAUGGACCUAUCAGAUUGGCUGGUGACUCCCCAGAAAUCCCAUCAGCUGGGGAAGCCUGAGAAUGGUAAUCGUGAAAUCAGUGAGAAGUUUAAGUUCUUGUUCCAGUCCUGUAAUGUGAAUGAUUGGCUUGUCAAGACUGACUCCUAUACCAACUGUCAGAGUAAACAGCCCAAAGGUGUGGAGAUUGAAAACCUGGGCAAUCUGAAGUGCCUGAAUGACCACUUGGAGGCCAAGAAACCACUGUCCACCCCCAGCAUGGUUACAGAGGAUUGGGUUGUCCAGAAUCAUCAAGACCCAUGUAAGGUAGAGGAGGUGUGCAGAGCCAAUAAGCCGUGCACAAACUUUGGCUGUGUAUGUGAUGAGAAUUGUGAGGAGGCUCUGUAUAAGUGGCUUCUGAAGAAAGAAGGAAAGGAUAAAAAUGGGAUGCCCAAACCUGAGCCUGAGAAGCAUAAAGAUUCCCUGAAUAUGUGACUCUGUCGUUCUAGAAAAGAAUAGAACUAAAGCACCAAAGGCAAUGGUUCCUUCUAGAAUUGCUGAUUCCUUCCAAGUCAUAAAGAAUAGCCCCUUGAGUAGCUUAUCGGUCCCCCAAGCAAAAAGAAGGAAGUCUCAAGGAAGUGCCUAGUACUGAAGACAGAGUUGAUAAACAAAAGCUUAAAAGUCCCAUGACCACUUCCUGGUUUCCCUUUAACACAGCUGACUAGGUCCUGCCAGAAAAGAAGAUGGGCAACCUCAGCAGUUAUCCUCUGGAGAAGACAAGUGGCUGCUUCGAAAGAAGGCCCAGGAAGUAUUACUUAAUUCACCUCUAUAGGAAGAACAUAAUUUCCCUUCAGACCAUUACGACCUCCCUGCAGUUUGUGAUCUCUCUGCCUGUAUGCAGCUUAAAGCUGAUAAAGACAAGUGGUUAUACUGAACACCUAUACAGAUGUGAAGGAUGGACAAGAGUUGAGCGGCCUUUCUGCCGAUUAUCACACAUCAUGAGCUGCGUGACUGCAUUUCUGGGUCUGGCCAGUUAGCUUAGUUCUGCUCCUGCCUAAUUUUGAACUAGUAAAGCAAAAUGAGUCAUCAGAUUAUGAGUUGCUGUUUAAAAUAAAAAUGUUGUUUAUUGAUGCUGAGGUGAUUCAGUUCCUUCCUUCUUACAGAAGUAUUAAUUCACCCCCACACUAGAAAUGCAGCAUCUUUGUGGAUAUGUCUUUUUCACAAGCCUCCAAGGCUCCUUAGAUUGAUUCGGUACUGAAAGUACAUUAAAACACUCUAGUUUUAAAAAUGAAACAUUUCUGUAAUUGAAGUGUAAUGAUGUAUUCUAAAGCUAGUAAACUUCCUGAACAAUUAAUUGCCCUAGAGGUGCUUCUCUUGCUGUGGGUUUUCUUCUGUUAGUGGUCUGAAAUAACGAUUUUCCUGUUCUAUUAAUAUAGAGUGUAUUUUGCACAAAAAAUUAACCUGGUCAAUAGUGAUUAUCAAAAUAUAUAUUAAUAAUCUUGGCAAUUUUUGACAUUAAUUACCAAACAUUUUAGCCCACAUGUUCUACAUUAUUAUUCUUAACUUGAAAUAAACUCAGCUACUGCAAAUUUUGUCUUUCUUUCUGUAAAUGUUAUUAAAAUAUCCAGUGAGCUCUUUUAGA